rnacentral:tRNA from 1 species
AUGAAGCUCAGUGGUUAAGAGCACUUGCUACUCUUAUAGAGGACCUGGGUUCAACUCCCAGCAU